rnacentral:rRNA from 1 species
GACGUAGGGCGCGAGCGUUGUCCGGAUUUAUUGGGCGUAAAGAGCUCGUAGGCGGCUUGUCGCGUCGAUCGUGAAAACUCACAGCUCAACUGUGAGCUUGCGGUCGAUACGGGCAGGCUCGAGUUCGGUAGGGGAGACUGGAAUUCCUGGUGUAGCGGUGAAAUGCGCAGAUAUCAGGAGGAACACCCGGUGGCGAAGGCGGGUCUCUGGCGACUACUGACGGCUGAGGCACGAAAGCCCGGGGGGAGCAAACAGG